AGUGAACGCUGGCGGUAGGCCUAACACAUGCAAGUCGAACGGCAGCACAGUAAGAGCUUGCUCUUACGGGUGGCGAGUGGCGGACGGGUGAGGAAUACAUCGGAAUCUACUUUUUCGUGGGGGAUAACGUAGGGAAACUUACGCUAAUACCGCAUACGACCUACGGGUGAAAGCAGGGGAUCUUCGGACCUUGCGCGAUUGAAUGAGCCGAUGUCGGAUUAGCUAGUUGGCGGGGUAAGGGCCCACCAAGGCGACGAUCCGUAGCUGGUCUGAGAGGAUGAUCAGCCACACUGGAACUUAGACACGGUCCAGACUCCUACGGGAGGCAGCAGUGGGGAAUAUUGGACAAUGGGCGCAAGCCUAAUCCAGCCAUACCGCGUGGGUGAAGAAGGCCUUCGGGUUGUAAAGCCCUUUUGUUGGGAAAGAAAAGCAGCAGGUUAAUACCCCGCUGUUCUGACGGUACCCAAAGAAUAAGCACCGGCUAACUUCGUG
rnacentral:rRNA from 1 species